AAUUGGCAAAAUCGCGGGAAAAAGAAGAAAAAAUAAAACUCCAAAAUGAGAAGAAGCUGGACUUCUUGCCAAACGCUGGCAUGCAGUCUGAUCGCCUUUCAUUUUUGUUUUUUGCCAUGAUUUUUUCAUCACUUCUGCGGGCCACACUCUCAUUCAUCUAUUAAGACGCUGAGACAAGGCGACCUUUUUUGUAUUGAAGAUGUGAUUUUUAUCAGGAAUGCCACGGUCAGCCACAGAAGGUCCUUAGUGCGAGCAGAGCCAUGGGAAAAGCAUCAAACUAGAUCCCGGGUUGAGAGGGUGCGGUCCAGUCCGGCUUCUGCAGACGUGUCGAGAUGAAAACGCGCCAUGUCGGACCGCAACGACAUACAGUAGAUCCAGACGGUAACCAUCAAGUAUGACACGU